rnacentral:lncRNA from 13 species
CCAAGGUCAUACAGCCACUGAAUGGCAGGGGUAGGGUGAGAAGCCAGCGCGUUGGUUCGCAGAGCCUCUGCUCUGAGCCUCACCUGACUAGCAGUCUGGCCUCUGCACUCCUGCCCUGGAAAUCAAUGAGAGAAAGGCCAGAGACAUCAGCAUUUGUGUUUCUCUGACAGGCCCUGAAAGGAGAGGCCAGCUCCUUCUCCAUUCACAGCACCAAAGGUGCCAAUUCCCAGCUCUGAAGGACCUACUCCCCAAGGCUGCCACUCUAUUUUUAACCUCGAAUCCAUCAAUAAAUGGAGCCUGGGAGAGCAGCCUGCCUGAUAGUAAGAAGAGAGGAAGGGACAAAUUAUUAAGCACUUUCUGUGUGCUGUUAUGUGAAAUGCUUGACAUGGAUUAUGUACUUAAAUCUCCACAGCAUUCCUAUAAAAUAACUACUAUCACAAUUUUAUAAAUAAGGGAAAGGAAGCUUAAAGACAUUAUGGAGCUUGCUGAGGCCAAGCAGCUGAGGUGCAGAGCCACGAUCCCAACGCAGAUCAUACUCAAGUGUGAAGUCCAAGUCCACAUCCAUGCCCUUUCUUCCUUACCUCCUGGCUCUGAUGCAGCACGACGUGACCAUUGGGCAGCCUGGCUGGAGGAAGGGUGGAUGGAGCAGAGAGUCAGCAAACAAUCUCUCCAAGUACUAGGGAGGUGCAGGCAGGCAGGAAGGAACUUGCUCCGGCUGGUUGGUUGGGAAAGGUUUCAUGGAGACCGAAACCCAGACCUUAAGUCCCCAGAUGGAGGAAGGAAGGGCCCUGCAGGAGAGGAUAUUAGAUGACAAAAAAGUGAGGCUUUGAGGGAUCAACUGACUGCCUGGGGUCACUGGGAUUGGAAUCAGAGUCUGGUGGGAUUACAGGCGUGAUUCCAGAGACCAUGAUGCUAUCCUGGCCAAUGAGAGGGUGUGGGAUAAAAACAGUUGCCGGCAAAUGGACAUUCAUCUGAAGUGUGGGAGUGGAGAAGAUAAGGUAGGUUUCAAAGGCAAUAGAGGGGCAGGGCUUUCUGUUUUGUUUUGUCCUUUGAGUAGGUUUGUUCAUAUUUGGCACUAAAGUGAUAAAGCUUUCUGGAAGCUGGAACUGGAGGACAGACAGACUCAACCAGGGGAAAGGGCGUUGUUUGUGCGUGGUAGUGGCUGGGUGGGGGAAGGGCAAGGUUCGAAGUUCAGUGUGUCCAGCAGCUCUGAGGUCCCCAGUACCAGAGGCUCAGCCAGGGCUCAGGGUCCAGAGUAGCAAGUGGCAGGGGUGAGUGAAGGAGGGAGGGGUGAAUUGGAGUCUCAAUGGCAUUUGAUGUUUGACUUCAGGGGAGGGGAAAGUCUUCAAGGAGGCAGGAAAUAUACCACACCCUGCAAUAACUGGGGUACAACAAAAUGUUAAAGAGACACAGGGGCCUACUAACAGCCAAACUGAAUAGUUCGAGCAACAAACUAAAUAAAGUAGCAAUGGAUUACA